rnacentral:rRNA from 1 species
UACAGAGGGUGCGAGCGUUGUCCGGAAUUAUUGGGCGUAAAGAGCUCGUAGGCGGUUUGUCGCGUCUGCUGUGAAAACCCGAGGCUCAACCUCGGGCCUGCAGUGGGUACGGGCAGACUAGAGUGCGGUAGGGGGAGAUUGGAAUUCCUGGUGUAGCGGUGAAAUGCGCAGAUAUCAGGAGGAACACCGGUGGCGAAGGCGGUUCUCUGGGCAUUACCUGACGCUGAGGAGCGAAAGUGUGGGGAGCGAACAGG